rnacentral:rRNA from 1 species
AUUGAACGCUGGCGGCAGGCCUAACACAUGCAAGUCGAACGGUAACAGGAAGCAGCUUGCUGCUUCGCUGACGAGUGGCGGACGGGUGAGUAAUGUCUGGGAAACUGCCUGAUGGAGGGGGAUAACUACUGGAAACGGUAGCUAAUACCGCAUAACGUCGCAAGACCAAAGAGGGGGACCUUAGGGCCUCUUGCCAUCGGAUGUGCCCAGAUGGGAUUAGCUAGUAGGUGGGGUAACGGCUCACCUAGGCGACGAUCCCUAGCUGGUCUGAGAGGAUGACCAGCCACACUGGAACUGAGACACGGUCCAGACUCCUACGGGAGGCAGCAGUGGGGAAUAUUGCACAAAGGGCGCAAGCCUGAUGCAGCCAUGCCGCGUGUAUGAAGAAGGCCUUCGGGUUGUAAAGUACUUUCAGCGGGGAGGAAGGGAGUAAAGUUAAUACCUCUGCUCAUUGACGUUACCCGCAGAAGAAGCACCGGCUAACUCCGUG